AUUUUACAAAUCACUGUACUACUUUGUACUACAUUCUCCAGAUACUUUAGGCAUCCUUGACAAUGAUAUUUGCGAUGUAAGCAACAGUUUACAACACAGAAGUAUGAGGACGCAACACAACAGCAUUCCUUGUUGUACACAAGUACCCUGGAAAAAUCAAAAUGGGAGAUGAAGUGUCUGUUUCAGUGACACCAAAAGGCUCAAUCUCGUCACACACAAAUCAAAGCAGUGCACCACAGUCGAAGCUAAGGAAUGUCUGAUGGAAGUAUGGGAUGAAUGAAUGAAAACGCUCCUCCUCCUUCACCAGGACUGGCAACUGAAGUGAUUAAAGUAAAAAGUGUCAUCUUUAAUCCUCUCAGCAGAGGCCUUCUGAUGAUAAGGCUAGUAUAUGGAAAUGAGGAGGGUCGGCGGCAGGCUGGUAACCGGACCCCCCUGUAAUAAGGAUGAAGAAUGAUAAUUUGAAUUUGGAGAUUAAUGGAUUAUCUGGAAAAGGCUUGUCACAGUGCCACAGCCAAUGACCUUUUCAGAUUGACGGAUGACUCCAUUUUACCUGAACGAAUUCUCCAGUUCAAGGGGCGGUAUGGCCACACUCUCUUCCCUUUUUGAUCUGAGAUUGAGAAAAGCUUUUUGGUAUGUAUUGGAAUGUCAGAGUGAACUGUGAAAAAAUUAUCAGAUAGAUUUUUUUGGCACUCUAUCAGCCAUAAAGUUCAACAUAAGGAGACGGUAUUGUUUUAUCCACUGCUAGAAUUUCCCAGAAAGGUCAGUAGUCAGUACCCAAAGGCUAUACAUGAUACUUGUGCAUGAUUACAAUGUCAAACGUUUACGGUGACUAUUGCUUUCUGUGAUUGAAAAGAAGAGACAAUAUAACAAGGAAGAGACAGACAGAAGUCAGAUGCUCCUUGAUUUAAGUCCUGCCUUUUUUUUUUUUUUUUUUUUUUUUUAA